rnacentral:rRNA from 1 species
UACGUAGGGUGCAAGCGUUGUCCGGAAUUAUUGGGCGUAAAGAGCUUGUAGGCGGUUUGUCGCGUCUGCUGUGAAAUUUCGGGGCUCAACCCCGAACUUGCAGUGGGUACGGGCAGACUAGAGUCUGGUAGGGGGAUCUGGAAUUCCUGGUGUAGGCGGUGGAAAUGCGCAGAUAUCAGGAGGAACACCGGUGGCGAAGGCGGGAUCCUGGGCCAGUACUGACGCUGAGGUGCGAAAGCGUGGGAGCA